rnacentral:lncRNA from 10 species
CUCGAUCUCCUGACCUCAUGACCCACCCGCCUCAGCCUCCCAAAGUGCUAGGAUUACAGGCAUGAGCCACCACGUCCGGCCUAAAUUUUUAUAUUUUUAAUACAGACGGUGAUUUGCCAUGUUGCCCAGGCGAACUCCUGACCUCAGGUGAUCCACCCACCUCGGCCUCCCAAAGUGCUGGGAUUAUUACAGGUGUGAGCCACCACGCCUGGCCCAGAGUCUGGUAUUUAAGUUCAUAUCCUUUUUGUUCCAUUAGAAUAGUAAUUUUGUCCCUCAGGGACACCUGACAAUGUGUGGAGACAUCUUUGUUUGUCACAACUGAGGGGAGGUGGUGGGGUUACUAGCAUCUAGUGGGUGAAAGCCAAGGAUUCUAAACAAGGUACGUAUCCUACAAUGCCUACAGUCCCUACACAAAGAAUUAUUCAGCCCAAAAAGUCAAUAGUGCUGAGGUUAAGAAACCCUGAGUCAGAGUGAUCUUUCUAAAGAAUAAAUUGGGUCAUGUAAUUCCCGUGAUUAAACUUUUUUAAUAGCUUCCCACUGGAACCAGAAUAAAAUAAAAUCCAAACUCCUGAUGGUCUAUUAAGCCCUAGAUAAUCUGGUCCCUGCCUACAUCGCUCAUCUAAUCCCUUUUCACUUUUUUUUUUUUUUUUUUGAGACGGAGUCUUGCUCUGUCGCCCAGGCUGGAGUGCGGUGGUGCAAUCUCAGCUCACUGCAAGCUUCGCCUCCCAGGUUCACACCAUUCUCCUGGCUGAACCUCCCAAGUAGCUGGGACUAAAGGUGACUGCCACCACGCCCAGCUAAUUUUUUUGUAUUUUUAGUAGAGACGGGGUUUCACCAUGUUAGCCAGGAUGGUCUUGAUCUCCUGACCUCGUGAUCCACCUGCCUCGGCCUCCCAAAGUGCUGGGAUUACAGGCGUGAGCCACGGCGCCUGGCCUUCACUUUCCUUAAUCACUAACCUCUGAACACAGUGGCCUUCGGUCCAAACAUACCAAGCUUGUGACCAAAUGCACCAGAUUCUCAGGACCUUGGCACUUGCUAUUGCUUCUACUGGGAAUGUUCUCCAUGGUGUCAUCUCAAAUGUGGUCUCCUGGCUGGGUGAGUUGGCUCACACCUAUAAUCCUAGCACUUUGGGAGGCCCAAGGCAGGCAGAUCACUGAAACCCAGGAGUUGGAGACCAGCCUGGGCAACAUGGCGAGACCCCAUCUCUACAAAAAACACAAAAAUUAGUCAGGCAUAGUAGUGUGCACUUGUAAUCCAUCUACUUAGGAGGCUCACAGGGGAGAAUCACUUGAACCUGGGAGGCAGAGGCUGUAGUAAGCCAAGAUCUCACUACUGCACUCCAGCCUGGGUGACAGAGCCUGACCCUAUCUCAAAAAAACAAACAAAAAAUGUCAUCUCCUCAAGGUAUUUCCUGAACAUUAGUAGCUGCCACCAGCACAACCACCACUAGCAGCUAUGCUCAUUAUUUAAUUUUCCUUAUACCACUUAAAAGCAUCUGAAAUUCUGGCCGGGCGCGGUGGCUC